AUAGCGUAUAUUAAAGUUGUUGCCGUUAAAAAGCUCGUAGUCGAACUUCGGUCCCUGUUGGUCGGUCCGCCUUCUUGGUGUGUACUUACUCAACGGGGACUUACCUCCUGGUGAACUGCGAUGUCCUUUACUGGGUGUCGUAGCGAACUAGGACGUUUACUUUGAAAAAAUUAGAGUGUUCAAAGCAGGCCUACGCCCGAAUACAUUAGCAUGGAAUAAUAGAAUAGGACGCGCGUUCCCAUUUUGUUGGUUUCUGAGAUCGCCGUAAUGAUUAAUAGGGAUAGUUGGGGGCAUUGGUAUUCAGUCGCUAGAGGUGAAAUUCUUGGAUUGACUGAAGACCGACUAUUG
rnacentral:rRNA from 1 species